ACUACGGGGUGCUGCAGUGAGGAAUAUUGGUCAAUGGACGCAAGUCUGAACCAGCCAUGCCGCGUGCAGGAAGAAGGUGCUAUGCAUUGUAAACUGCUUUUAUACGGGGGUAAUUACAGAUACGUGUAUCUGGAUGAAAGUACCGUAUGAAUAAGGAUCGGCUAACUCCGUGCCAGCAGCCGCGGUAAUACGGGGGAUGCAAGCGUUAUCCGGAUUUAUUGGGUUUAAAGGGUGCGUAGGCUGUGAGGUAAGUCAGCGAUGAAAUGCCCCCGCUCAACGGGGUGAAGUGCCAUUGAUACUGCCUUGCUGGAAUGCGGAUGCGGUGGGAGGAAUGUGUGGUGUAGCGGUGAAAUGCAUAGAUAUCACACAGAACACCGAUUGCGAAGGCAUCUCACGAAUCCGCGAUUGACGCUGAUGCACGAAAGCGUGGGUAUCAAACAGGAUUAGAUACCCUAGUAGUC
rnacentral:rRNA from 1 species